UUUCUAAAUUUCAGAGCUUUUUUUUCGGAUUAUAACAUUGCUGAUGACCGAUAUCCUACUGGAUUGUGUCCAAGGUGUAGGGGUAUAGUUGAAAGAACAAAUGUGGUUGACCUCAGACAGAAAAUUAGGUUUGACAUUGACUGGUCAAAGAUGACUCUUCCGGCUAAAACACGAAACGGGAAACUAAAAACUUGUAGCUGUGAAAUAUGUAAAAUUGCAAGAACGCAGGGAAGGAUACCCAAGAAAAAAUCUGGUAUAAAAAGUUUUAAAACGGCAGUUGUUAGUCCGCGGUGUAGUUUUUGUCUGAUUAAAGUUAAAAGAGGAUUGCAUCAUAAAUGCAAUCCAACAACGCUCAGGUAGAAAACGUGUUUAUAACUUUGAAUAUUUGACUUUGAAAGAUUGUAUAACAUGUUCUAUAGAAAACAAUUUCUAUGU